AACGUGUCUUCUGCGUGUCACUUCCCAACUAGGGGAGGGAUGCAAUGCAAAAUUGUGAGACGAUCGGUUGGAGAGCUUAGGAAUGGUUUGGAGUGCACUGGUGAUCGAAGUUGUGCUUUUCUGUCGGAACUAGUGUAGUAAGGCAAGGAUGAAAACCAGCAGCAAAGCAAAGCAAAAAAAAGUGCUGAGGAGGUGGCAAGCUCUAUUGUAAACAUUUUCAUGGCAAAUUAUGCACUAGUUAUAAAAUGGUAUACGUUGUGCUUAAUUUUUGUCCUUGGUAUAAACAUCAUUUUCCUUUGGUUUUGUUAAUGAUACAAAUGAAAAAUGCAUUUUGUGUAAAGAAAGAUAAAAUUUAGCUCUUAGCCUAAGUUAUGAUGAGAUGAUGUGUCACGCUCAAUUUGGCCUCUAUUUAAAGUAAAAGAAUUAAACUGAGGAUAAAACUAAACCACAGCAUACCUAUACUAAACCCUCAUUUUAUUUGUAUCAAUAUUACUAUUUUUUCUGGUGUUCACCCAAUAGAUUCAAUCCACUCACAGACAAAGAUGGCACCCAUGCAUUUUACCAUUACUCUUAGGCUAAGGCACAUGUAGAAAGCAACAUUUCGCAAAACAACAACAUCAUGUAUGCAAGGUUUAAAUUUUCAGACCUUUACUGCUUGUUUUUAUGAGUGGUUCCAGGAUUUCUUGUGAAAAGAGUUCUGGUUGAAUGUACCAGUCGCCAUGUUUUUUGGUAUGGUGGUUUGCAGUAAUUGUUGUAUGAAGUAACCUUCACCAAUAUUAAUUUUGUGAACUUGUCACUGACAGAGAGCUAGUUCAUGAUUAGACAUUGAUUGUUUCAUUGAUUGCCAUGCUCUACAUUUAUCAUUGUAAUACUAAUUAACUCCUCUGCCAUCAGUAAUCACAUUAAAGAUACUGUGUUAGAAAUCACAGCACUGUACCCCAAAAUCUAAUGUCAUCCUCAGCACAAUUUCAUUUUUUGAGCAAGGCAAAAGUAAAAAUCAAACAAGACCACACAGACAUCACCACAGAGACAACAUUGUUAUGUAUAAUGUUUAUAUAGUUGGUUAUGUAAAAGCUACUCUAUUCAUUAAUUCAGUGUCAAUACUCUCCCUCAUAGCAGCUAUAAUUUUUAGCCAACUUGGGAAAUAGUGACCUAAAAUGGACCCUUUUGGACAUCCAAACUUUUAAAUUUCCAGGGGAAGGUUCCCCAGGCUUUGCCAUCCAAGUGGGAAUAAAUGGCUGCCACACUGUCAUUUUGGUCCCUCCCAGCUGCUCAAACAUUGUCCCUCCUUUCCACAAUCUUACCAAAGCCACUAUAUGUGUAGUAAUAAAAACAUUGAAGUAAAGUGUGCUAUCUAAGCAACAGAUGAUAAUCAUGCACACUUUUAAGUGAGUCAUCCUAGCAGAUGUUUGGUGAGGUAUUGCAUUUUGUGCUCAAAAUCUAUUUCACAUAGACCUGGGAAAAAAGAAUGGGGUGUAGCAGUCAUUCAGGUCAGUUAAUUGCUCCAAGCUCUAAUUCGAUACCACUGUUCAUUUGGUAAUCUUUCUUGCCAAUACUCUCUUGUUAGUUGGGUUUUCUUGAAAACUCUUCCCAUUGAGAAGAAGCAUAAUAUGUGUUUACAAAUUAAAAGCAAAGAAAAAAAAAUAGGAGAGUAACAGGAUGGUAUCAAAGACAGUGUUACAGUUUUUUUUUUGCAGGGGGGUAAUUUUUUAUCUUUGAAUCAGAUUUUUAGCCUAAGUAUGUUUAAGUUUCUACACUUGUUGUUUAUUCUUGUGAUUUCUUGCUUUAAGA